UUUUUUCCCCACUGGCACUGCUAUGCGCAUCGGACUUUUGCUGAUUUUCGUUCAUCAAACGUCUCCAAAUCACACCAAAAUGUCUUCCAGCAAUUAUUCUAGCGAUGAAAUUUCAUCAAGAGAUAGUGACUCCUCAUACUCCGAUGCCUCCUUAUCCCAUUUUAGUGAUUCUUCCCAAGAAAAUGAGCCCGACAAAUGUUCAAAAUAUAAUACUAGUCCCACUCGUAGAGAAAUGAGUUUGUUGUCGAAUGACGGAACAUCGACGAGCGGAACUGGCCCCAGAAAACAGCUGAAAAGGAAUCAGAAAACACAACCUGCUAAAGUACCACGCAAGAAGAAGAGCAAGUCUUCCAAGUCCGAGAGUGCAUGUGUCUGCGAGGUAUGUCCUUACUAAGUAGAAAUCUAAAUCUAUUGUUGAUAAUUUUUUUAGGUUUAUUUAUUUCAUGUUUGUUAGUUAAGAUCUGACAUCAAAAUAUUAGAGUAGUUUACCUCAUCAUUAUGCUAGAACAAUAAUUUGCAGGUGGCACAAUUUCUACCUAGAUCUACAUUAUUUUUCUCUUUCCUUUUUAUUUUUUUCUUCAACAAAUUGUUCCUUUACUAUUUUCUUUUCUGUGUUUUAUGUUUUAUUUUAUGUAUGUUCACCCAAUAUAUCUAAGAAUAAAAUAACUCUAAUUAAUUGCCUACCUGAGUGGUUUACAUUUCAUGCACCUUGACAGCUCUUUGAUGACUCCGUUGUUUCACCAUCCGUUCGUCGUCAGCCUGGCAUCUUUUUUGCUAUCAUACUUUUGUACACACAUGUUCUGUGCCUUUGAAUUUUUCAUUAUGAAAUACAUAAAUACUUGUACUAAGUAUUAAUUGCAUGUUCAUAAAUGUACCAAUGCAUGAUUAUUCUAACCCCUAACUCACAUUUCAUUUAUAU